rnacentral:ncRNA from 1 species
AAAAGUGCUGAGAAAAGAUGAGUAUCCAAUGAAGGCCGCUUAGAGAGUCGUUAAUGGUGGAAAGCGAUCGGUCAAAGUUGGUGAAGAUGGUCUUGGAGCGGUUUGCUGCGUGAGCCCUUGGUGAGCGCAGCACGGGGCGACGCCGUUAUCAAAGUCGGGGUUUUCAAAUAAUCGAGAACUCGCUGAGGAGAAUGCUGCAAUGCGUUCUUGAAGAUGGGUGGUAACACGCUGAUCAUGACUGUCAGACGUCCCUGAA